GAUGAACGCUGGCGGCGUGCUUAACACAUGCAAGUCGAACGAAGCACUCUACUUGAUCUCUUCGGAGUGAUUGUUUUGUGACUGAGUGGCGGACGGGUGAGUAACGCGUGGGUAACCUGCCUCAUACAGGGGGAUAACAGUUGGAAACGACUGCUAAUACCGCAUAAGCGCACAGGGUCGCAUGACCUGGUGUGAAAAACUCCGGUGGUAUGAGAUGGACCCGCGUCUGAUUAGCCAGUUGGUGGGGUAACGGCCUACCAAAGCGACGAUCAGUAGCCGACCUGAGAGGGUGACCGGCCACAUUGGGACUGAGACACGGCCCAAACUCCUACGGGAGGCAGCAGUGGGGAAUAUUGCACAAUGGGGGAAACCCUGAUGCAGCGACGCCGCGUGAGCGAAGAAGUAUUUCGGUAUGUAAAGCUCUAUCAGCAGGGAAGAAGAAAUGACG
rnacentral:rRNA from 1 species